rnacentral:tRNA from 1 species
UCCCUGGUGGCUCAGAUGGUAAAGCAUCUGCCUACAAUGCAGGAGACCCAGAUUCAAACCCUGAGUCGGGAA